CAGAGUGUGGCCUAUAUUACAUCAGGCCAUAAUGCAAAUGAUUCUCUGUUAUCUUCAUCUUUUGCAGCUAUUAAUUUUUUGACUUUUGAUCAUUACUAUUUCUGUUUUUACUGUAGACUUCUACAUUUCAAUAAAACACCUUGUGCGUUGUUAAGUAAGAAGCAGUAUGUAAAUAGUUUAAUGACAUUUUGCCCUCUUGGAAGCUACACUUCCCCAUUCAUUUUGUUUAUCAGAAGCCAUCUGAGAAUGCUGCAAAUUGCAAUCAUAGGAUACUGGAUGCUGCAACUGUCAUAAGGGUGAGCCAUUUGUCAAGUUCCUGGAUCAUGAUCAUGUGACUGCAGUGAUGCUGUGACAGUCAUAAGUGUGAGGAUCAAUCAUAAGUCACAUUUUUCAGCAUCGUUGUAAUUCUAAAUGGUCGCUAAAUUAACAGUCAUAAGUCAAGGUAUGUACUUGUACUUCUUUUAUCUUAUUCUGCUUUUUCUUUUUUCUUUUGUUUUUUCCUUAUGAUUCAUUUAUUAGUUGUAUUAAUUGUGUUAAAUGUUUAUAUUAUAUGCACUUAAUGACCAAACUUUCAGAGACAUACAAAUAUGCAGAAAUCAAUAGCAUCAAUUUUAAAUUUCUCAAUAGCACAAAUAGAAGUUAAGAGAAAGCAAAAGCUAUAUGCAUUAUUAAAGUACAUAAAAUAAAAUUGCAAGAAAAUAAGAAAAAUCACCUAAUGCUUAAAAAGAAAAAAAAAAAAAACCAAACAC